rnacentral:rRNA from 1 species
GUCUUUUUGUUAAAAAUUUAAAGUCGGGCCUGCCCACUGAAAAUUUAAAUGGCCGUGGUAUUUUGACCAUGCUAAGGUAGCAUAAUCAUUAGUUUUUUAAUUGAAAGCUGGAAUGAAAGGUUUGAUAAAAAAAUGACUGUCUCUAUUUAAUUUUAUUAAAAAUUUAUUUUUAAGUUCAAAAGCUUAAUUUUAAUUAAAAGACGAGAAGACCCUAUAGAGUUUAAUAAUUUAAGAUAAUUUAUAUUUUAGAAUUAAUUUAUUUAUUUUUUAAUAUUAUUUAAUUGGGGUGAUUAAAAAAUUUAAUUAACUUUUUUUAUAUUUUACCAUUAAUUUAUGAUAAUUUGAUCCAAUUUUUUUGAUUAUAAGAUAAAAUUACCUUAGGGAUAACAGCGUAAUUUUUUUAGAAAGUUCAAAUUAAAAGAAAAGAUUGCGACCUCGAUGUUGGAUUAAAAUUAAAUUUUGGUGUAGAAGCUAAAAAUUUUAAGUCUGUUCGACUUUUAAAAUUUUACA